UACGGAGGGUGCACGCGUUAUCCGGAUUCACUGGGUUUAAAGGGUGCGUAGGUGGGCAAGUAAGUCAGUGGUGAAAUCUCCGGGCUUAACCCGAAAACUGCCAUUGAUACUAUUUGUCUUGAAUACUGUGGAGGUCAGCGGAAUAUGUCAUGUAGCGGUGAAAUGCUUAGAUAUGACAUAGAACACCGAUUGCGAAGGCAGCUUACUAAGCAAAUAUUGACGCUGAGGCACGAAAGCGUGGGGAUCAAACAGG
rnacentral:rRNA from 1 species